rnacentral:misc_RNA from 1 species
UUAACUAUUAUAUAGUACUCAGACGACAAAGAUAAUAUGAGUUUCGAGUCCUCUGGCGGCCACUGACCAGCCGGAGCCGGUUGUCUUGCGACGGGGCCGCCAAAGCAACAAAGGUAUUAUAAACAGAGGGUGGGAGGUCUACCCCGGAGGGCAUGAUCUCUUUAAUGAUCCUUCCGCAGGUUCACCUACGGAAA